GGAAGUGAAAAACGAUGCUCUUUUUUUUAGCGGUUUUGUUCCGCUGUCAAUGCGCUAAAACAUCUUGUCUGCAGCAUAAAAAGCUCAGCGGUGUUCACAAAACCAGAUUCAUUCACAACAGCUCCCUUAGCAAGUCCUGGGAUUCUGUUCCUGGGAAUGUAUGAAGUUCACCCUUAUGUGGCCAGGCGCUUACUGUGUGGCCGGUGAUGAAUGAGAGGACUUGCUGUGGGUGCUGGCCUAUCUUUCAUUCCGAUCUCGUGGUCAAAGAAGUCCCCUGGGUCGACAUUGUCUAUACCUUUUAGGAUUUUGAAUGUUUGAAUCAGAUCGCCGCGUAGUCUUCUUUGUUCAAGACUGAAUAGAUGCCUUUUAAACCCGGGAUAAUUCUGGUUGCUCUUCUUUGCACUCUUUCUAGAGCAGCAAUAUCCUUUUUGUAACGAGGUGACCAGAACUGAACACAAUAUUCUAGGAGCUGGAACCUCAACUGGUUCUGCUGUGGCCAAUGCUAAUCAACAGGAAAUCCAGCUUCUUCUGUUAUUAAGAGGGAUCAGAAACAGACACACGCCGUUACAAGCGACAGAGAGGUGGCAAUCUGAACCCAGGGAUGAUAAUACGAUUCCCAUUCCACUGCAGUUGCUCCCUUUCUCCAGGUUUUAAUACAUCCCUACAAUUAAAACAUUUUUAAAGAGUAGGGUUGACUCAACGGUGGAAGCAGAACAGGUCGAUUUACUGUAGUUAAGUUGGUCCACCUUCUCUGAAGGCACUGUGAAAGACCUUCUGGAUCUAACUGCUGUGCAGCGGGACUCUCCAUCCUUCUGCUUGUUUUUUUUUUCUCUCAGGAAGGAGGAGUGGCACAAACACGGAGCGUGUGCAGGGUGCGUGGAGGGGAUGAAUUCCCCCACUAAGUACUUUCAGACUGCGCUCAAACUGCGAUCGCUCUACGACAUCGACGGGUCUCGAUAAUUGCCCCUCCUUAGUCAUCUCCGAUUGGUCAAUUUGGAGAUCCUAUUCCUCUGCUUUCUUCUGAUUCGCCCUUCGCGGCUGUCAAUCACGGAAUGUGAAUCAACGCUCAUUGGCAGACACGUGCGGUGUUG